AGACCCUCCCGCCUCAGCCUCCCACAGUGGUGGGAUUACAGCCAUUAGCCACUGCACUUGGCCUUAAACGUUAAUUUCUACCACUGAGUUGAGGUGUUCAGCAGUAAAAUGUAUGACUAAGCCAUCUUAAUAUCUCUCUUGUUGGCUUUUAACAGAGUGAUGCCCAUUAUAGAUAUGUAACGUAAUAUAUGUGUGUUGGUUAAAUGAAGAAAUAGAAUAAUAUACUGGUUUGAUGGGAUAAAGCUUCUGAUUGAAUAUUGUCAAACUCUUGAACUGAAAAACAAAUAUUAAAAUGGUCAUUAAUGUUUUAAAUAUCUGAUCAGAACAAGUUGAGCAAUCUUUGUUAGAAGAUUGAAAGGAGAAAUUGUACUGGCUUUGGAAUUGCAACAGGCAGGAUCAGUCAUAAACCAAAAGGAUGGAAACAGGUAUUUUAACCAUUAGCCACCUCUUUGUUAAAUGCAAAACCUUAGUGGAGAAAGGUAACCUAUUAAGUUACUAAUUUUUAAUAUCAUGUAUCUCUAAUAAUAGUGAAGUUUUGACAAAUCAUGUGUCGGGUUACUAUGGGAAUUACUAGCUCUGGUUUGGGAAUGGUUAAUUAACCUUUAUGAUCACAUUGACUACUGGGUUGUAGAUGCGGAAUGCAUAUCGUGAUUAUUCUAAUAAAAGUACUCUGGGCAGUUUUGAGCUAUAAUCUGCAUUUUUUCACAACAGUACUUCUGGGCUCAUCUCAUUUUAAGGGUAAGGAAACUGAGGCAUGAGGAGCAUAGGUAACUUACCCCCAAAUGGUAAAAGUAGUAGUUAGGAUUUUAAGUCAUGCCAACUUGACUUUUAUACACCUGGGCUCUGGUCAAUGUAUACUGCCAAACCCAUGCCAAGUAACAUUCUCAGUUUUAAAGAAAGGGGUUCCAGAUGAGAGGUUUUGAUGAAAAGGUGGUAGACAGAACAGUCUGGAGAUUGUGAAAUUGCACAGGAAGGAACAAGAUUGCUCAGACAAUAAAAGGCCAACAGGUGCUUGUGGAUCUUACCCCAAGACACUCAGAAAACAGCAGAAGCUCCCUGAGUUUGAGAGAAGAUUACGUGUCAACUCCUCUGCUUUGCAUGAUUAUGUCAUCAAAUAACAACAAAGUCUUUGUGUUCUUCCAUAUUCAGGUCAACCAUUGGGCUUAUACUACCUUAUUGUGGCUAUAAGAAAAGCCAGCACAUUUGUUGACAUAAUUUUCAUUGAAGUUAACAGAACUACUAAGUGCAUGGAAUAUAUUUUUUCACAUAAUGAUAUUGGCUUAGCAUGUAGAAUAUUAAGUGACAACAGUCCUGCUUUGAAAACACUUAAAUGAGCUCCGUAUUCAUGGAUGGAAAUGACCUACCUCAUGGGAUAAGUUGUAGUGAUGGAGAAUCAACUUUGUAUACCUUUAAAAAGACUGAAGAAUGUUUGACUCAUACAAAAAAAAAAAAAAUCCCACUACACUUCUUUUGAUUGUAACUGGAUUAAAUAUAUAACAUGUAUUUUACAAUACAAAGUUUAUUAUGUGACUAUUAAAAUUCUGUUUUAGUCACCAUACUUUUGAAACUCAUGAAUUAAUAUUGGAUUUGACAUUUUUCAUUGUUUCAAGCAGUUGCUUGAGGAAGAGAAAGAUUAAAUAGUAAAGGGCAAGUAAACUAAGAAUUGAAACAGUCUGUUACCUGUAGAUUACAAUAAUUUUUUCAGGGGUUUAAGCAGGAGCUGAUUUUUAAUCUUUAAUGAAAUCCUUUGGGGGGAAAAUAACAGGGGAGUAAAACAUUCUUUUGGGAUCUACAGACAAUUAAAACCAACCUACUGAAUGGAUGUUUUUCACUAAAUCAGUAAACACUUCGAGAAGCUGGGAAUUCCUAAAGACUUACCUAUUCAAUCUUUCUGAGAUACAAACUCCUCAAAGAAAAUGCAGGCUAUAUUUUCAUUGAUAAAUCCUUGUUUGAAAAAGUGUUCCCAAGAAACUUGGUGGAAAAUUUUAGAAUAUUUUGAAAAACAUUCAGUUCAUCUUAAGUGCACUUUAUUUUGACUUGCUGAAGAGGUUUCUGAAAGAGUUUCUGUCAAACUUGCCUCUUCCUCCAGACAACUUUGAAGUUGAGGAAGGUACCUUGAGCAGCAGCUGGGCUUUGUGUGUAUUGGUCUGCUCUUCUAGCCUUAGAGUUAAGAUGAAAUGAAAACCAUUCUGGUCUUUCUGCUUGAAACAUGAAUGAUGAAGUAAAUAUUAGUCCUUAAAUUCAUCGGGAUUACAAAAAUACCUGUGAAAAGUAAUAAAAGCAGAUACAUUCUAAGGUCUUUCAAUUAUAUUAAUUGCACGGCAAUGAAAGCUUUGCUAGUAUACCUAUUUUCUUUGUUUUAAUUAUUCUAGCUAAUUGAUUCUGCUUCACACCUGAGGACAAGAGCAUUGCCAGAACAUGGAUUUAAUUUUUUUCCCUGUUCUUAGUCUACUAGGAAUGCGUGGAUACAAACAUAAAUGUGGUAAAUGGAAGAUAGCCAAGCAAUUGGAUUUCCUUACUGUCAUAUUCAGCAUACAGAGAGCACAAACUUACAAUCAAGGUUGCGAAUAAGGCAACCAUGAACACUGGAGUAAUCACAUCUCUACAAGAUCCUGAUUGAAUUCUGUUGGAUAUAUACCCAGAACUGACAUUUCUGAAUCAUGAUACUAUUUCCUUUUACUGGCACCUUCCCUCAAGCGUGUGACAAGUAGCCUGACACAUGAUUUAUCAGGGAAAUAGGAAACCAUGCAAUGGUGUCUAGCCUGUGGCCUGUGGCUGGAAUAAGAACUGGAUCAUUGGACGUGCCCUUUGGCCCUCCUGCCUAGAGAAGGUACACCUCACUCCUAUGAAAACAGUCUGUGCCGGAGACAUGAGGUAGCUUCCCAAGCAGGCCUCAUUUUUAACUUGUUAUAGAUGUUUUAUCUUAGUAUAUGAAAAACGUGAGCAUAAAGAAAAUAACCACCUUAAUAUAUAACUUGAUUGGGCAGCCCUGGCACCUAUUAGUGGGUAAAUCUUCAUAUUUUUUCACUAACUGCAAAUCUAGGUUAAAAUCAUACAUAUAGGAGCACAGUAAUAUUUAUAUAUGGGUAUACUGUGUAUAUGUGUUUAUUAUGAUAGGUAUUUGGUUGUCUAGAUAUAUGCAGGCAUGUAUAUACACACAAAGUUGUAUAUACAUGGUCUAAUUCUUUUAUAUAUGUCCAUAAAUCUUAAUAUACAUUUCCCUGCUGGGAGCCUCUGAGCCCUCUGCUCUGCUCUGUGUUUGGUAAAGCUUUCUUUACUGUUAAUGGUAGCUGUCCUUCACAUGCAAUUCACUUUCUGGCAGUAGACGGGAGUGAUUGUUAUGCUGCAAACCUCAGAGGGCAUGUGACUGUUUCUGAGACCCCCAUACAACUUGCUUCCUCUAUGCUCUCAAUUGCCAAGUCUCUCAGUUCUGGCUCUGCGGCAUCUCUCCCGUGUUUUCCUGCUCCUUCGUCCCCAUCCUUGGUCCUAGUUGAGUCCUGCAACAGCCUCCUAGUUGAUUGGUUUUGCAUCUGGAAAUCACUUUGUAGAAGUUUAAGUCCUGCUUUCUGAUGAGCUUUCACCAGUGGGAACCGUCGAGCCAUACGGUCGGGGACACACGUUCACAUGGUUUGCCUAGUUCCUUGACUGUGCUUGACACUCAGAAGGUUCUUGAUUAACAUCUGUGCUGAAUGAAAAUGAGAAAGAAACCAUGAUUUAGCUGGGCAUUGGUGGCUCACACCUGUAAUCACAACAUUUUGGGAGCCUGAGGAGGGCAGAUCACUUGAGGUCAGGAGUUCGGGACCAGCCUGGCCAACAUGGUGAACCGACCCCCACUCUACCACCCCAUGAUUCCCCCCUCCCCCUUCUCCUGCUUUCUAUUAGAUUCAAAAAUUUACCCAGGUGUGGUGAUGCA